rnacentral:lncRNA from 1 species
UGUUUACUUGUUAUGGAAUAAUUUGAUACAGGGUUAUUUUUGGGUUAAGGGUAAUACAUGGAUAAGUGUAUGACAGACGUAAGGUUUAGUAUACAUGAGUAGUCAUGCCACAUUUUGAACCAGAUUUCUCUCAACUUGUUUUCAUUUUAUCUCUAAUAUCUUGCCUGCUGAUAUAAGAAAUUCCUUUUAAAGAUCUGAACCUCUCCGACAUUUUUCAACUUUCUGCUCAUUCAAAUUAAACAGGCAUUAACAA